CACCUUGUUGGCCAUAAGUGGUGAGCUGGAUGUGUCACCACUCUCCCGCUCCUUCUGGUGUGAGGCCAGCAGGGCCACAGCGUAGCCCACGUCGUGACUCAGGAGCCACUUGAAGAAUGCAAGGCACCGGCUGGAUGGUGUUGAAGGCACUGGAGAAGUCAAAGAACAUGAUCCUCACAGUGCUGCCGGGCUUCUCUAGGUGAGAAAGAGCUCGAUGUAGGAGGAAGAUGACGGCGUCGUCUGCUCCUAUGCCGUGUCGGUAGGCGAACUGCAGCGGGUCCAGGUAGGUUCCCACCGCAGAGCGGAGGUGACCCAGGACCAGUCUCUCCGGUGUCUUCAUCAGGGGUGAUGUCAGAGCCACUGGUCUGAAGCUGCUGGGGUCUUUGGCGUGCGGUGUCUUGGGCACUGGUACCACGCAGGAGGUCUUCCAGAGCUGUGGUACCACCCUCAGCUUGAGGCUCAGGUUGAGGACAUGCUCCAUAACUCCACACAAUUCGCCUGCGCAGGACUUGAGGAGUCUGGAGCUGAUGCCGUCUGGUCCAGCUGCUUUCCUGGCCUUGAUCUUCCUGAGCUCACUUCUCACCUGGGUGCUGGAGAAGGAUAGGGGUUGAGGGAGUGUCUCAGUGUGGUGUGAAGUGAGGGGGUGUUGUUGGUAUGAGUCGCCAGUCGUCAGGGCUGAGGGUAGAGGGCUUUGUGUAAAGGUGUGAAGGGCUGUGGGGGCUGGUAAUCCUGUGGUAUGAGGUGACAAAAGGUUUGGAGGCAGCUGCUGGGAGGUGUGAGUGGGUGCUUGGUCAAACCUAUUAAAGUAUGAGUUCAGCUCGUUGACCCAGUUCGGGUCCCCCUCAGCCUGUGGAUGUGGAGCUUUGAAGCCUGACAUGGUUUUCAGGCUCCUCCACACCUCACUGACAUUGUUCUGCUGCAGCUGCUCCUCCUUCUUCCUCCUGUAGCUGGACUUCCCCUCACGGAUUUUCCUCCUCAGCUACAGGUCAGCAAGAAAGCAAAAGGUCAGUCUCAGCCAUCAUGUUGUGAAGACUUACUUUGGAACAUUUAAGAUGCUGCGUGUGUCCUUUCUCUUCUUCCAGAGACUGCGCCCUACAGAACCUCGCAGCGCAGAUGAAGGCACUCCCUAAAGUUGUGGGCUGUGAGCUGCCACCUACUUGGGAUUUGCUGGUUAUAGACGGACAUGGAUCUACUCUGCAGCUUGCAUUAUUACACGCCAAGCGUGUGUUUCACUGUUUGAUAAUGGAAGGGAACAAACUCAAUACUUGGUGGAGAAAACGUUGGCUGCAAUACAUCUGAAUCUGAGCUGUGAUAAAGAAAAAUAACGUGACAGCGGAUGAAGUUUGUUCCCGAGAACAGGAACAAAAAAACAGUUGUGAUUCUGAUGUUGGUAAUAACAUGAGAUGUAUUCAUUAGGUAAUACUACAGAAAAUGUCUUAUUAGCAAUAUGUUUCUUCAUAGUGUGAAUUUGAGGUUUGACUUGGAGUUUUGACAUGCUGCAUUUUUCACGCAGUCACUUUGGUUUUGACAUUAAUUUUGUCGAUUUGAUUCUGCUUCAAACAAAAGCUCUAAGAUUUGACCAAGAAUGGGUUUAGGUUUAUUGAAGACAUUUACACAGACACGUCUACUGAAGAAGUGGCAUAACUGUACUGUAGCUAAAUGUACAAUAGUACCAGUAGUUCCACUCCUCUAUUGUAGCUUUGACUUGUCUGUAGUUACAUUUCAAGUUUUUAUACAACAUUUGUUCUUCUUUAAAUGUUCUUUGUUUUUCUGGAAGUCCUGAUGAGAUUUGUACAAGCAGACUUGAAGCUACAGUACAACGUCUUAAUUUACAGAAGCCAACUGUGCGGCUCUUAGCCUCCUUCUACUACUUUGUUAUUGAGUGUGCUCGCUUUCUCCGUCACCUCCUGGUUUAAUUCCAUUAGCCUGCAAAGAAAGAAAUCUGUCGGGACCCCUCACAUCCUAAGUCCCAUGUUCCAGUGGCUCCCAUCAGGACACAGACUCCCUGAUGCAGGACCCAAAUAGGGGAAACACUGUAUUCCCAGCAGUAGUUAUCUAUGUGAAUGCUGUCCUGUACAAUGACGCUUUUAAUUGAUCUUAUUAGUAAUAUUAAUUUUCCUGGAUGCUUUUCCUUAAUUGGCCUUCAUGGAUAAAUAAUAGAGACAAAGUGUUUUAAAUUGAAUUGAUCAAUACAUUAUAAAUACCUGAAAUACUUAUGUACACAUUAUUCAAAGAAAUAAAUUAAAAACAAAUCUAUGUUGUGAAGUUCACGUCUGAAAAUAUGUCAGUUGUAUAAAAAACAUUUUGCCUUUUCCAACAACAAACGCUUGGCCCGACCGAGUCUAUCCCGUUGUUGACCGCAGCCAGUAUGGAAAGCAUAUGAACUACGCAGAUGUGCCACCUCAGCUGCAUCCAGGACCCGCCAUGUGUGCAGCUGCAGCUACUGUAUUAAUACUUAUUAUAACAAGAGGUGGUGUAAUUAGCUACUACUAUUCAAGUGACAAUAGAGAACUGAUAAAAUACUAAGCUGAAGCAAAUAAAUGAGACAGGUUUUGUUCAUUGGUCUGAAAGCCUGCCUUGUAAAUGCUUUUUUUCAUAAGUUUAUGUUUAAGUUUAUUUAACUUUUCACAACUGGAUCUCCUUAGAGUUGGACAAUAUUCCCCUUUUCUCCUAUUUGAACGUUAUUUUAAUCUCAGAUACUGUUAACGUGAUUUUACUUCUGUGCAAAUGUCUUUCUUUGACUCUAAUUUAUUUUACGAAUGACUUUGAAUUCUUGAAAGUCUUUGUUAAAACUUUACUUUUACGGUUAAACUUAAAACAGGGUUAAAAUUAGACUAUAGUACUACCCUAAAGCUGCUAAACCUAAACACUGGCUAUUGUUGUUGUUUUAAUUGUUGUUUAUUGUCUUUCUGUGACAUCACACAUGCUAGAAACAGACCAGAGUUAAACAAGUGACUAUAAUUAGCUGUGACUGUGUUACAAGGUGAAACACUGAGAAGAAUACGAGGUGGUGGAGCUUUUGUCUUUUCAGUCUGAUAAUGUUGGUGGCACAGGCUGCUACCAUGUUUUGAACUGUUUCUCUGCACGUUGUUUAUUGUAAAAUACAUUUAAAAAUGUGACUAACUCAUGUAAAUCACUAAACUCUACAGAUACGUU